AGUAAUGCCUAGGAAUCUGCCUGGUAGUGGGGGACGAACGUUUCGAAAGGAACGCUAAUACCGCAUACGUCCUACGGGAGAAAGCAGGGACCUUCGGGCCUUGCGCUAUCAGAUGAGCCUAGGUCGGAUUAGCUAGUUGGUGAGGUAAUGGCUCACCAAGGCGACGAUCCGUAACUGGUCUGAGAGGAUGAUCAGUCACACUGGAACUGAGACACGGUCCAGACUCCUACGGGAGGCAGCAGCU
rnacentral:rRNA from 1 species